UACGGAGGAUGCGAGCGUUAUCCGGAUUUAUUGGGUUUAAAGGGUGCGUAGGCGGAUUUUUAAGUCAGCGGUAAAAUGUCCGGGCUCAACCCGGGCCGGCCGUUGAAACUGGGGAUCUUGAGUGGGCGAGAAGUAUGCGGAAUGCGUGGUGUAGCGGUGAAAUGCAUAGAUAUAUGGAAGAACACCAGUGGCGAAAGCGGCUCUCUGGUCUGUAACUGACGCUGAGGUUCGAAAGCGUGGGUAGCAAACAGG
rnacentral:rRNA from 1 species